GGAAGUGGAUCCACCUCCAUCGGGGCACACUGCCCAUCUGUCUGCUGCUGCCAGGCCGAACUAGGAAGAGGUCGCGCCCCAAAUGUCACCGCAGGGGCGCCAGGAUCCGUCCACCUCCCGCGAAACGGCCGCCUCGACGCUGGCGCUGAUCCUCCCGUCCUCUCCUACGAGCCCUCCCUUCCCGUUCCCCUCCCUUGUCCUUUCCCAAGUCCUCUCAUCACACCAAGUCCUGACGAAGAGGGCAGGGCACGGACUGCCAUCCUUGGAGCUGCUGUGCCGGGGCAGCGGGAUGAGUCCGGUGGAGGGACCUCAGCUGCCGGGGGCCUCAAACAUCGCAGGGCGUGACGAUCCUGCAAGGCUCCCAUGUGAACCCAUCCUUCCCGUUUCCAUCCAUAAUCACUCCCCAGGGGGACAGGAGGAAUAAAAAGAAGUCACAGGCGCAGCUGUCCACAUGGAGAACCAGGCUCUAGUUUGGACAGGAAGCAGUGCAAACUGCAACAAGAAGGUCCAGUCCAGGUGCUGCGUUUGGACUUUCCUUUCAAGACUGCACAAUCAACAACUUAGAACAACAUUACCAAAUAAUUAAAAAAAAAAAAAAUCAAAACCGCAAUACAAAAUAAACACAUUUUCUUUUUUAAGAAACGAAAGCAGUAGUCGUCUCUCUGUU
rnacentral:lncRNA from 1 species